UCCCUUUUGAAUAAAAAAGACUUUCCACGAUUUGAUGAUCAAAUACUCAGUUCAGUAACUAAAAGGUUGCUUGGAGCCUUUGAGCUGUGGGUAGCUCAUUGUUUUCUCAAGGAAUAACUACUUGCAGCUGGCAGCGAGGAUACCAAGUGUUGUGGCUUCAAGGUUCUUAAAGCUUUGGGUUAACCACAUAAUUUGUCUUCUAUGGACUAGGGAAGAGUAGUUCAUUUUUGCCAGCACUGGGAAGCUGCAGGAUGGUCGUUACACUUACUGAAGUAGAUACCAACAUAUGAACCUGAGAAAAAACUGCAAGAACACAACAAUCCAACGAAGGAAUACAUCAAUUUGAUGAUUUCAUACAGAUGUCUUCUCAAAAAUGAGUUGAGGAGAGGUCCUCUACAACGUCCUGGCCUUGCUCUUGAUAGAGGUGGAGCAGGGCAGCAGAAACCAGUCCCUGAACAACUCAGUCCAUCGUUUUUUAAAAGCAUGAACCUCACUUGGUUUCACUGCUCACCUUGGAAUUCACCUGGGCAUAGAAGUGAAUCUCGUUGUACAACUCCACGCCAUCAGCAUUCUUACAGCUGCAGAAAGACAAACAUAUUAUGGUGAGGCUCU